UACGUAGGGAGCAAGCGUUAUCCGGAUUUAUUGGGUGGAAAGGGUGCGUAGACGGGAAAUUAAGUUAGUUGUGAAAUCCCUCGGCUCAACUGAGGAACUGCAACUAAAACUGAUUUUCUUGAGUGCUGGAGAGGAAAGUGGAAUUCCUAGUGUAGCGGUGAAAUGCGUAGAUAUUAGGAGGAACACCAGUGGCGAAGGCGACUUUCUGGACAGUAACUGACGUUGAGGCACGAAAGUGUGGGGAGCAAACAGG
rnacentral:rRNA from 1 species